GAGUUUGAUCAUGGCUCAGGACGAACGCUGGCGGCGUGCCUAAUACAUGCAAGUAGAACGCUGAAGAGAGGAGCUUGCUCUUCUUGGAUGAGUUGCGAACGGGUGAGUAACGCGUAGGUAACCUGCCUUGUAGCGGGGGAUAACUAUUGGAAACGAUAGCUAAUACCGCAUAACAAUAGGUGACACAUGUCAUUUAUUUGAAAGGGGCAAUUGCUCCACUACAAGAUGGACCUGCGUUGUAUUAGCUAGUAGGUGAGGUAACGGCUCACCUAGGCGACGAUACAUAGCCGACCUGAGAGGGUGAUCGGCCACACUGGGACUGAGACACGGCCCAGACUCCUACGGGAGGCAGCAGUAGGGAAUCUUCGGCAAUGGGGGCAACCCUGACCGAGCAACGCCGCGUGAGUGAAGAAGGUUUUCGGAUCGUAAAGCUCUGUUGUAAGUCAAGAACGAGUGUGAGAGUGGAAAGUUCACACUGUGACGGUAGCUUACCAGAAAGGGACGGCUAACUACGUGCCAGCAGCCGCGGUAAUACGUAGGUCCCGAGCGUUGUCCGGAUUUAUUGGGCGUAAAGCGAGCGCAGGCGGUUUGAUAAGUCUGAAGUUAAAGGCUGUGGCUCAACCAUAGUUCGCUUUGGAAACUGUCAAACUUGAGUGCAGAAGGGGAGAGUGGAAUUCCAUGUGUAGCGGUGAAAUGCGUAGAUAUAUGGAGGAACACCGGUGGCGAAAGCGGCUCUCUGGUCUGUAACUGACGCUGAGGCUCGAAAGCGUGGGGAGCGAACAGGAUUAGAUACCCUGGUAGUCCACGCCGUAAACGAUGAGUGCUAGGUGUUGGAUCCUUUCCGGGAUUCAGUGCCGCAGCUAACGCAUUAAGCACUCCGCCUGGGGAGUACGACCGCAAGGUUGAAACUCAAAGGAAUUGACGGGGGCCCGCACAAGCGGUGGAGCAUGUGGUUUAAUUCGAAGCAACGCGAAGAACCUUACCAGGUCUUGACAUCCCGAUGCUAUUUCUAGAGAUAGAAAGUUACUUCGGUACAUCGGUGACAGGUGGUGCAUGGUUGUCGUCAGCUCGUGUCGUGAGAUGUUGGGUUAAGUCCCGCAACGAGCGCAACCCCUAUUGUUAGUUGCCAUCAUUCAGUUGGGCACUCUAGCGAGACUGCCGGUAAUAAACCGGAGGAAGGUGGGGAUGACGUCAAAUCAUCAUGCCCCUUAUGACCUGGGCUACACACGUGCUACAAUGGUUGGUACAACGAGUUGCGAGUCGGUGACGGCAAGCUAAUCUCUUAAAGCCAAUCUCAGUUCGGAUUGUAGGCUGCAACUCGCCUACAAUGAAAGUCGGAAAUCGCUAGUAAUCGCGGAUCAGCACGCCGCGGUGAAAUACGUUCCCGGGGCCUUGUCACCCCCCCCGU
rnacentral:rRNA from 1 species